rnacentral:rRNA from 1 species
UAGGGAAUCUUCCGCAAUGGACGAAAGUCUGACGGAGCAACGCCGCGUGAGUGAAGAAGGAUUUCGGUUCGUAAAACUCUGUUGUUAGGGAAGAAAAAAUGUAUAGUAACUAUAUACAAAAGAGACGGUACCUAACCAGAAAGCCACGGCUAACUACGUGCCAGCAGCCGCGGUAAUACGUAGGUGGCAAGCGUUGUCCGGAAUUAUUGGGCGUAAAGCGCGCGCAGGUGGAUUAGAAAGUCUGAUGUGAAAGCCCACGGCUCAACCGUGGAGGGUCAUUGGAAAAUAAUAAACUUGAGUGCAGGAGAGAAAAGUGGAAUUCCUAGUGUAGCGGCGAAAUGCGUAGAGAUUAGGAGGAACACCGGUGGCGAAAGCGGCUUUUUGGCCUGCAACUGAAACUGAGGCGCGAAAGCGUGGGGAGCAAACAGG